UCUUAUUUUAUAAGACUGCAGGACAGGGCUGGAGAGAUGGCUCAGAGGUUAAGAAAGCUGACUGCUCUUGCAGAAGACCCAGGUUCAAAUCCCAGCACCCACAUGGCA
rnacentral:miRNA from 1 species